rnacentral:rRNA from 1 species
UGGGGAAUCUUGCGCAAUGGGCGAAAGCCUGACGCAGCGACGCCGCGUGGGGGAUGACGGGUUUCGGCUUGUAAACCCCUGUUGCCCGGGACGAACUUCCGCUUUCGAGCGGAUUGACGGUACCGGGUGAGGAAGCACCGGCUAACUCUGUGCCAGCAGCCGCGGUAAUACAGAGGGUGCGAGCGUUGUCCGGAAUCACUGGGCGUAAAGGGCGCGUAGGUGGCGCCGCAAGUCCAUGGUGAAAGCUCGAUGCUCAACAUCGAGUCGGCCACGGAGACUGCGGGGCUCGAGCACUGUAGGGGCAGAUGGAAUUCCGGGUGUAGCGGUGGAAUGCGUAGAGAUCCGGAAGAACACCGGUGGCGAAGGCGGUCUGCUGGGCAGUUGCUGACACUGAGGCGCGACAGCGUGGGGAGCAAACAG